AGUGAACGCUGGCGGUAGGCCUAACACAUGCAAGUCGAACGGCAGCACAGUAGGAGCUUGCUCUUACGGGUGGCGAGUGGCGGACGGGUGAGGAAUACAUCGGAAUCUACUUUUUCGUGGGGGAUAACGUAGGGAAACUUACGCUAAUACCGCAUACGACCUACGGGUGAAAGCAGGGGAUCUUCGGACCUUGCGCGAUUGAAUGAGCCGAUGUCGGAUUAGCUAGUUGGCGGGGUAAAGGCCCACCAUGGCGACGAUCCGUAGCUGGUCUGAGAGGAUGAUCAGCCACACUGGAACUGAGACACGGUCCAGACUCCUACGGGAGGCCGCAGUGGGGAAUAUUGGACAAUGGGCGCAAGCCUGAUCCAGCCAUACCGCGUGGGUGAAGAAGGCCUUCGGGUUGUAAAGCCCUUUUGUUGGGAAAGAAAAGCAGCAGGUUAAUACCCCGCUGUUCUGACGGUACCCAAAGAAUAAGCACCGGCUAACUUCGUG
rnacentral:rRNA from 1 species